GAAUGACUGCUGUGAUGGAAUUUCAGGAAUCAGGGCAGGCCAGUGCAGAUGACAUUUCAGAGCAACCGAGGUUUCCUAACACCCUUCAAUGUAUAGGGCAUUGGAGAAGGUGAAAGUGCUUGAGGAACAGCUCUGUAGAUUCCACACUGCAAGAAGGAUGUGUUGAACAACACAGAAAGUAACCAGAUAAAAAACAAGAAGGAGAAGGGAACUCUGUGUCAACAAUGAUGACUCUGGAAGAGAAAGUGGAUAAUAGCUGAUUACAUAGAAGGCAUCCAAAGGAAGAAUUUGUCUUUGGGAUCAUGACAGGAAUGUCAAGAAGAUAUACUAUUGAAAAUGAAAAAGGGCACUGGAUCAAAGUGGAGAAGAUAUUUAACAAGGAUAAAUGGAUGCAGCAGAGGGAGAAAAAUUAAGACCAACUACCAAGUGCACUGUUGUGAAGUUGUAAUGCACUGUGGAAGGAAGAAUUCCCAGGGGAAUUCUGAGAAGUCACUCUUAAAGUCAGG